rnacentral:misc_RNA from 1 species
UUCCUCUAGGCUUGCAUUUACACACAAGCUCAAGCAACCUACCCGAACUCUCGGCGGGCCACCGAUUGAGUUCCUAUUUGGUCUUGCUACGAGUGGAGUUUACCUAGCUGCCAAAUGUUACCACUGGCACGGUGCGCUCUUACCGCACCCUUUCACCCUUACCAGCCAAAGACUCGGCGGUCUGCUCUCUGUUGCACUAGUCGUAGGCUGCGCGCCCCCCCG